rnacentral:rRNA from 1 species
CACACGGCGGGUGCUAACGUCCGUCGUGAAGAGGGAAACAACCCAGACCGCCAGCUAAGGUCCCAAAGUCAUGGUUAAGUGGGAAACGAUGUGGGAAGGCCCAGACAGCCAGGAUGUUGGCUUAGAAGCAGCCAUCAUUUAAAGAAAGCGUAAUAGCUCACUGGUCGAGUCGGCCUGCGCGGAAGAUGUAACGGGGCUAAACCAUGCACCGAAGCUGCGGCAGCGACGCUUAUGCGUUGUUGGGUAGGGGAGCGUUCUGUAAGCCUGUGAAGGUGUGCUGUGAGGUAUGCUGGAGGUAUCAGAAGUGCGAAUGCUGACAUAAGUAACGAUAAAGCGGGUGAAAAGCCCGCUCGCCGGAAGACCAAGGGUUCCUGUCCAACGUUAAUCGGGGCAGGGUGAGUCGACCCCUAAGGCGAGGCCGAAAGGCGUAGUCGAUGGGAAACAGGUUAAUAUUCCUGUACUUGGUGUUACUGCGAAGGGGGGACGGAGAAGGCUAUGUUGGCCGGGCGACGGUUGUCCCGGUUUAAGCGUGUAGGCUGGUUUUCCAGGCAAAUCCGGAAAAUCAAGGCCGAGGCGUGAUGACGAGGCACUACGGUGCUGAAGCAACAAAUGCCCUGCUUCCAGGAAAAGCCUCUAAGCAUCAGGUAACAUCAAAUCGUACCCCAAACCGACACAGGUGGUCAGGUAGAGAAUACCAAGGCGCUUGAGAGAACUCGGGUGAAGGAACUAGGCAAAAUGGUGCCGUAACUUCGGGAGAAGGCACGCUGAUACGUAGGUGAAGCGACUUGCUCGUGGAGCUGAAAUCAGUCGAAGAUACCAGCUGGCUGCAACUGUUUAUUAAAAACACAGCACUGUGCAAACACGAAAGUGGACGUAUACGGUGUGACGCCUGCCCGGUGCCGGAAGGUUAAUUGAUGGGGUUAGCGCAAGCGAAGCUCUUGAUCGAAGCCCCGGUAAACGGCGGCCGUAACUAUAACGGUCCUAAGGUAGCGAAAUUCCUUGUCGGGUAAGUUCCGACCUGCACGAAUGGCGUAAUGAUGGCCAGGCUGUCUCCACCCGAGACUCAGUGAAAUUGAACUCGCUGUGAAGAUGCAGUGUACCCGCGGCAAGACGGAAAGACCCCGUGAACCUUUACUAUAGCUUGACACUGAACAUUGAGCCUUGAUGUGUAGGAUAGGUGGGAGGCUUUGAAGUGUGGACGCCAGUCUGCAUGGAGCCGACCUUGAAAUACCACCCUUUAAUGUUUGAUGUUCUAACGUGGACCCGUGAUCCGGGUUGCGGACAGUGUCUGGUGGGUAGUUUGACUGGGGCGGUCUCCUCCUAAAGAGUAACGGAGGAGCACGAAGGUUGGCUAAUCCUGGUCGGACAUCAGGAGGUUAGUGCAAUGGCAUAAGCCAGCUUGACUGCGAGCGUGACGGCGCGAGCAGGUGCGAAAGCAGGUCAUAGUGAUCCGGUGGUUCUGAAUGGAAGGGCCAUCGCUCAACGGAUAAAAGGUACUCCGGGGAUAACAGGCUGAUACCGCCCAAGAGUUCAUAUCGACGGCGGUGUUUGGCACCUCGAUGUCGGCUCAUCACAUCCUGGGGCUGAAGUAGGUCCCAAGGGUAUGGCUGUUCGCCAUUUAAAGUGGUACGCGAGCUGGGUUUAGAACGUCGUGAGACAGUUCGGUCCCUAUCUGCCGUGGGCGCUGGAGAACUGAGGGGGGCUGCUCCUAGUACGAGAGGACCGGAGUGGACGCAUCACUGGUGUUCGGGUUGUCAUGCCAAUGGCACUGCCCGGUAGCUAAAUGCGGAAGAGAUAAGUGCUGAAAGCAUCUAAGCACGAAACUUGCCCCGAGAUGAGUUCUCCCUGACCCUUUAAGGGUCCUGAAGGAACGUUGAAGACGACGACGUUGAUAGGCCGGGUGUGUAAGCGCAGCGAUGCGUUGAGCUAACCGGUACUAAUGAACCGUGAGGCUUAACCUU